rnacentral:rRNA from 1 species
AUACGUAGGGGGCAAGCGUUGUCCGGAUUUAUUGGGCGUAAAGCGCGUGUAGGCGGCCAUGCAGGUCCGCUGUGAAAACUCGAGGCUCAACCUCGAGAUGUCGGUGGAAACCGUUUGGCUAGAGUCCGGAAGAGGAGAGUGGAAUUCCUGGUGUAGCGGUGAAAUGCGCAGAUAUCAGGAAGAACACCAAUGGCGAAGGCAGCUCUCUGGGACGGUACUGACGCUGAGACGCGAAAGCGUGGGGAGCGAACAGGAUUAGAUACCCUGGUAGUCCACGCCGUAAACGAUGGGUGCUAGGUGUGGGCGGUGUCGACUCCGUCCGUGCCGAAGCCAACGCAUUAAGCACCCCGCCUGGGGAGUACGGCCGCAAGGCUAAAACUCAAAUGAAUUGACGGGG